rnacentral:lncRNA from 1 species
GAAUUUGUAAUGUGGAACUUUGUUCAAGGGAUGCUGGUGAUGAAUGAUUCUGGAACUGUCUUUUUCUCCUUUUAUGAUUCAUGGGAUUCUCCUCAUCAGAAUAACCUUUUGGAGAUUUUAACCCAAAGCUUCUUCAGUGGCAAAACAGUCUUUCAUCAUGCAAAAAGAGGAUGAAAUAUCCCAGAACACUCAGCAAAGAAAAUGUAUGCAGAAUGUUUCAUAAAGCCCUGAAUAAAGCUGCCUUCUUCGUCGUUGUCUUCUUUUGUUAGUGCUGCAGGCAGAUGGCUGCAGAGAAAAGAUACUGUCAUGUCAAGUUGAGCUUUAUGUCCUCAGCUCACCCCUUCUGUUAGCCAGCCUCUCUAGCGCCCAGUCAGCAUUUUCUUCUGGUUUCAUGGCAGUUUUCAUGUCUAUGCCUGGCUUAUGAAAAUAAAUGGAGAGUGUAGUUUCCCAUCAUUAUCAGUCACAAGUGCAAAUAUAUGUGUUGCUGUGGUUUAAAGUGUGAGUUCAGAAACACUCAGCACUGGUCUAGUUUGGAAGUCAAUGCAAUUUGUGGUGUUGGCUUUAGCAGACAGGAAUGGUGUGUAAUACUUCAUAUCACAAUAGCAAUGGAGGUGGCAUUAUUUUUCUUAACUUGCAUAAACAUACCUCCUGACUACAUUGGCAAAAUUACAGUCUUUAUUUGCUAGGAAAGCUUUGUGGCUUCUCUGGCAUUAGAAUGAGAGGUUUUGAGCAGUGCAGGUGCUGUCAGUGGAAGUGACAGGGAGGAGGAAGGGGAAAGAAUUUCUUCAAGGAAGGAAGUUACAGAAAGUAAGUGCAAGAAUUUAGAAGAUGCUGGAUGCUUGUGGUGAGUAAGAGUUUCCCUUUAAGGGAUCAAGCAAGGAAGCAUUUAUAAAUUGGAAAAUAGUUCAGUUUUUCUUUGAAGCUUCCCCCAUAUGCUACAUAGCUUCAUUGAAAUAAAUGAAAUGAAGUUCAUGGGAAAUUUAUGGGAGCAUUGACAUGCAGGUGACGGACUCUCCCUCCUUGGAGGUUUUUAAGCAGAGGUUGGAUAGCCAUCUGUCAUGUAUGAUCUAGCUGAGGGUUCCCUUCCAUCUACAAUUCUAUGAUUCUACAAUGUGGAAAUAGUAAAGCACAUCCUUUUCCUCUGGCUGCUCCUCAGCCCUAAACUUUCUGAAGCUGCUUCAGUCUCUUAAAAAUGGCCCUGGGGCCGUGCAUAAGGCUCCAGGACAUGGCCUGAAGCCACAGGAUGCAGCAUGUUUGCUGAGUCUAAACCAGGCUUCCUCAGCCUCAGCCCUCCAGAUGUCUUGAGACUACAAUUCCUAUCAUCCCUGACCACUGGUCCUGCUAGCUAGGGAUCAUGGGAGUUGUAGGCCAAAAACAACUUGAGGAAGCCUGGUCUAGACAGAUCUGGGUUUUGUUAAUCCCUGGUUGAGAGGCCAAUUUGGAACCCUGUGUACCAUGUCUUGAUUUCCAUGAUGGAAGAGGGGCAGGAUAUAAAUAUAAUAGUGUAAAUGACCACGUAACAUAUAAUUAGCCCUUCAGUUUGCCAUUAUCUAAAUAUCUGUAAGUUACAUAGAUAAAAGAAUAUGCAGAUCAUGAGAUAAUAAUGAUUGCACCAUGCGAAGUCCAUGAGUUGCAGAAUUAAUGGGAUUGCACUCCCUCAUAUAUCUCCAGGAGUCAUAUUAUUUCUAGACUUCAGACUCUGCUGUAGAGAGAAAGUAUUAUUUUUAAUGUGUAUUACUAUGGGAGGAAGUCAACAUUUUCAAUUGGAAUUGCAGAGUUAAUUCUUUCCCCCCUUUGGCAUUAAAGCUCUGCGAUUAAUAUCUGCCUCUGAGCUUGCCACAUUAGAGCAUUCAGCAUCCAUCAAGAAAAAAUCUCCAAGUCUAAACAGUUUCAUUAUGCAUACUUAUCUGCUUGGAAGGUAAAAGUGGUUUAUCUCUUUCCUCUUUGAAGCACGGUGCUGGGCUGACAGAUUGUCCUUUGAUUUCUUAUGAACUGGCAAGAAAAAGAGAAUGACUUUGAGCCUUCUCUGGCAAUGCACAACAACUACUCAAAAUGCUUUUGUAUUCUGCAGGAUCAGGUAAUCAAGGUUGGAUAAGCCAUGACGCUGAGCAUCCACGCACACAUUCAGUAAGGACUCCUGGGACAAUCCUUCUGUGGCCACUGUGCCACUUCAGAAUACCAAUGCAUUUCAUUGUUUUUAUAAAGAUUUCUGUACCCUGCCCUGAGAUCUAUAUGAUACAAGGUGGGCUAUGGAUAUGUUUAAAUAUAAGUAGGGUAAUUGUAUGACUAAAUGCUUUUAACGCCAAAACUUCCCUGCCUAUGGAAAGCUAGUAUGCCAGAGGUAUGUCCUGAUGUCCUAGAUUUCUAGGUGCUACAUGUUUUUUAUACGGCGAGAUUCACUCACAUUGUUUUUACAGUUGCACUCUGAAGUUGUACAGCCCAAGAAAAGCUGUACCACAUGCUUUUACUGAACAUGUACAUUGGCUUUGAGUACUCUACAGGGUAGGACCACAGGCAACUGAGUCCCCAACUUUGAUGCAAUUAUCUGUUUCUUUUCUUUCUUUUUUGGUUUCCAUUUUUAUUGUAAAUUUCUGUGCUACAUAGAGGCAUGGUAGGUCAAGCCCUAAAUGCAGCAAACAACAAAAAUGCAAGUUUCAAACGGAAAUGAGAGGCGGACGGAAAAGCCUGUCACAUAAGACAGGCAAAUCUUACAACAAAGUACAGGAUUACAUAUACAUUUUGGAUUACAUCAGUCAUGUGAACACAGUUUAAAAACUCAGCACUGGAAGGUAGAAAAGCUUCCUAUCCAGGAAUGUAUAGAGGUGUGUUUUAGGGUGCACAUUAACACCCACAUGAGCUGAAUGAAAGUCUUAGCAGGUGCAGGGAUUUCAUGAAAGACAGGUUGAUAUGGGAAGAGUUCCAUAACAGUAGGAAGUUUUUAAAAAACUGCUGUAGGGUGAUGCUCCCUUGAGUACUAACACAAAGAUAAAGCACCACGCUACCUACAGGGUGGCAGGGAUGUAGAGGCGCCCCUGGGUUAUGAAACUCAUCUGUGCAAAAAUAAUUCUUAGCGUUUUGUUCUGAGUCAGUGUUUUGCACACUCUGGACAUUUUCUGUCCAUUGAUAAAGUGAAGACUGGCAUUUAAGUAAAGGUCUUUUGCCAAAAGGCACUUGAGACUACAAGAAAACUCCACAGGAAAUAGGGGGAAAUAUGCAUUACUUAACACUGCAAGUCCUACAGUAAUAGCGUUUAGUCGACUGAAGGACCUGCAGGGUUUAUGCCCUUUGAGAAUGAACCCACUGUUAUCCUCAGAUUACAUAAGAAAAACUCAAGCAGGAAACUUGUGAUCAGAUUCACCCAGCCAUAAUCUCAUUAUAGCAACUGCAUGCUGUAGGGAAAAGCCAAUGAAACUUGGUUACUCACAUAUUUUAAUAAAGGUGUGUUUUGGGACCUAGACAGCAUCUUAAAAAGCAGGGGAUUCCCUACUGAGGGGAACAGAAGCAGUGAUCUGUGGGCCUGACAAGAUGUCUUGGGAAGUGUGCUGUCUCCCCGGGGCUAAGAUCCAAGAUGUAACUGAACGACUGCAAGGAAUCAUAAAACCCACUGACAAAUACCCCUUCCUCUUGGUUCAUGUGGGAACCAAUGACACUGCCAGCAAUAGCCUCCAGAAGAUCAAAAGAGACUACGAAGCUCUGGGUAGGAAAUUGAAGCAAUUAAAUGCACAAAUUGUCAUCUCAUCUGUCCUCCCAGUUGAACGACGUGGCCCGGGGGGAGAGGGAAAAAUAGUGGAAGUGAACAGCUGGCUUCCCAAAUGGUGUAAACAGGAACAGUUUGGAUUCUUAGAUCACGGACUGCAGUUUCUUGAAGAUGGACUUCUGGCAAGCGAUGGGCUGCACCUCACAACGGUUGGGAGGAAUGUUUUUGCCAAAAAUCUCAGAAACCUCAUCAGGAGGGCUUUAAACUGACUAAUGUGGGGGAGGGAGACAGUGCUCCUGAAGGUAGGAGUCUUAUCAGUUGAUGAAGAUGAUCAUCCAAAUGUCAUAGACCAAAUGGAGCAAACAGCACGCAGACCUAGUGGUGGGAGGAAAAAUCCUUAAAUAAGAGACACGGGGGAAUGAUUAAUGGACUUCAAUGUCUGUACACUAAUGCGCAAAGCAUGGGAAUAAACAAGAUGAGCUUGAGCUCUUGGUACAGCAAACUAAAUAUGACAUAAUAGGCAUCACUGAAACCUGGUGGGAUAAGUCCCACGAUUGGAAUGUAAUAAUGGAGGGAUACAAUCUAUUUCAGAGAAACAGACCAGACAAGAAAGGAGGAGGAGUGGCGUUAUAUGUCAGGGAUGUGUAUACCUGUGAAGAGAUCCAAGAUUUAGAACCUCAAAGCCAAAGUGAGAGCAUUUGGGUCAAAAUUAAGGGAGAGAAGAAUAACAGUGACCUCAUUGUGGGAGUUUACUAUAGAUCCCCAAGCCAAACGGAGGACAUAGAUGAUGCCUUCCUGGAACAGAUGGCCAAGCAUGCAAAAGGAAGGAGAUAGUAGUAAUGGGGGACUUCAAUUACCCGGAUAUUUGUUGGAUGUCAAACUCAGCCAAGAGCAUAAGGUCAAACAGAUUCCUGACUGGCCUUGCAGACAACUUCAUUGUCCAGAAAGUGGGAGAAGCAACAAGAGGAACAGCCAUUUUAGAUCUGGUCCUAACCAAUGUUGAUGACCUGCUUAGUGGGGUAGAAGUGGAAGGAUCAUUAGGCGCGAGUGAUCAUGCUCUUCUGAAGUUUACUAUACAGCAGAAAAGAGCAGGCAAGCAUACUAGGACUCAAUUUCUUGACUUUAAGAAAGCCGACUUCAUAAAACUUAGGGAAGUGCUGGGUGAGAUCCCAUGGACAGUAAUACUAAAAGGAAAGGGAGUUCAUGAUGGCUGGGAGUUUGUUAAGAGGGAGAUAGUAAAAGCACAACUUCAGGCAAUACCAAUGAGACGGAAACAUGGAAGGUGCCCAAAGAAGCCAGGGUGGCUAUCUAAAGAACUUUUAACUGAGUUAAGAUUAAAAAGGAUGGCGUGCUCUGGUCCAUGAGGUCAUAGAAUCAUAGAAUCAUAGAGUUGGAAGAGACCACAAGGGCCAUCGAGUCCAACCCCCUGCCAAGCAGGAAACACCAUCAGAGCACUCCUGACAUAUGGUUGUCAAGCCUCUGCUUAAAGACCUCCAAAGAAGGAGACUCCACCACACUCCUUGGCAGCAAAUUCCACUGUCGAACAGCUCUUACUGUCAGGAAGUUCUUCCUAAUGUUUAGGUGGAAUCUUCUUUCUUGUAGUUUGGAUCCAUUGCUCCGUGUCCGCUUCUCUGGAGCAGCAGAAAACAACCUUUCUCCCUCCUCUAUGUGACAUCCUUUUAUAUAUUUGAACAUGGCUAUCAUAUCACCCCUUAACCUCCUCUUCUCCAGGCUAAACAUGCCCAGCUCCCUUAGCCGUUCCUCAUAAGGCAUCUUUUCCAGGCCUUUGACCAUUUUGGUUGCCCUCCUCUGGACACGUUCCAGUUUGUCAGUGUCUUUCUUGAACUGUGGUGCCCAGAACUGGACACAGUACUCCAGGUGAGGUCUGACCAGAGCAGAAUACAGUGGCACUAUUACUUCCCUUGAUCUAGAUGCUAUACUCCUAUUGAUGAGGCCCAGAAUUGCAUUGGCUUUUUUAGCUGCCGCUUCACACUGUUGGCUCAUGUCAAGUUUGUGGUUAACCAAGACUCCUAGAUCCUUUUCACAUGUACUGCUCUCAAGACAGGUGUCCCCCAUCUUGUAUUUGUGCCUCUCAUUUUUUUUGCCCAAGUGCAAUACUUUACAUUUCUCCCUGUUCAAAUUCAUCUUGUUUGUUUUGGCCCAGUUCUCUAAUCUGUCAAGGUCGUUUUGAAGUGUGAUCCUGUCCUCUGGGGUGUUAGCCACCCCUCCCAGUUUGGUGUCAUCUGCAAAUUUGAUCAGGAUGCCCUUGAGUCCAUCAUCCAAGUCAUUGAUAAAGAUGUUGAAUAAGACCGGGCCCAAGACAGAACCCUGUGGCACCCCACUAGUCACUCUUCUCCAGGAUGAAGAGGAACCAUUGAUGAGCACCCUUUGGGUUCGGUCAGUCAGCCAGUUACAAAUCCACUGAGUGGUAGCAUAGUCAAGACCGCAUUUUACCAGCUUCUUUACAAGAAUAUCAUGGGGCACCUUGUCGAAUGCCUUGCUGAAAUCAAGGUAGGCUACAUCCACUGCGUUCCCUUCAUCUACCAGGCUUGUAAUUCUGUCAAAAACGAGAUCAGGUUAGUCUGACAUGACUUAUUUUCAGAAAUCCAUGCUGACUAUUGGUGAUCACAGCAUUCCUUUCUAGGUGCUCACAGACAGUUUGCUUAAUGAUCUGCUCCAGAAUCUUCCCUGGUAUUGAUGUCAGACUGACUGGGCGGUAAUUAUUUGGGUCCUCUCUUUUCCCCUUUUUGAAAAUAGGGACAACAUUUGCCCUCCUCCAGUCUGCUCAGAAGUCUUCAUAUAUUCUUUAAAAAGAAACAAACACCAACAAAUAAGGCUCCACCUUUUUAUGCUCAUUUUGGUUUUUAGAAAAUAAUUAAAUAAGAUUAAUCAGUUAUUGGAUGGCUUUGCAUACCUCUUUUGCCAUAGUGAUGAAAAUGGCAAUUGCCCUCUUGACAGGGACGGAGGACGGGGUGUGUGGUAGGUGUGGGCUGCCCCAGGUGUCACCACUGGGGGUGUGUAUGACAAAAUGCCGGGCGGCACUCACUACGGAGCCUGCAGUGUGCCUGAGCCACGCGUCUCUCCUGGGAGAGACACGGUGGCUUGGGGGCGCGCAGGCUCUGCGCUGCCCAAACGGUCUGCUUGCUGCCUCCCCCCCCCAGCUGUAGGGCGGCUGAGUGGGAGGAGGCAGGCAGACUCCUCAGAGGCUCUGCAGUGCGCCCCACCCUUAUGGGCGGCUCACCCCAGGUGCCCGAGCGGCUUCCUCCGCCGCUGCCUCUCAAAUAAAUGAUAUCUUUCUCCCAUCACAGGAAGACAACCUCUCUUUUGCCAUUACUAGGAAUAAAUAUCCUCAUUUUAUUUUUGCCCAUAAAACGUCCUAUGAAACAAGAAAUAAAUGUCAUCAGCUACAUGUGCGUCACAGGCUUCUUCUUCUUCUUCUUCUUCUUCAGCCUUGUAUUAUAUUUGGCUUUCAGGAAAUAGCUGUUUCACAAACCAGGCAACCAUUCUAGAGCAAAUUGGGCUAUUUAGCAGUGCAAGAUUACUUAAUUUUUUGGAUUCUGCUAUUGGAAAUCCAGGUACAAAAUGGUCUCAUCUUGUCUGGUUUAAAACAUGCCAAUAAAAUAAAAUAAAAUAAGAUUCUCCACUGUUCUGAUUUCUAAACUGAUUGGCUAGUAGGUUUAGUCAUUGGAUUAUAUAGUCCAAGCUUUUUUUCUGCACAGGCUCAGGGUUUUCCAUCUGUUUUCAUGCCCAUAUCGCACAGCCAGAUCUCAUUCAUUGAUAUUGAUGCUUUAAAUAACUCAAUUAUAUAUUUUUAAUUAAGAAGAAAAGAUGCUGAACUUGAUUGUGCCCCCCCCCCAAAAAAAUUAGUCACUCCUUCUCUCUUAUCCCUAGGUAUUAGAGAGACUUCUGAAUUUGACUUUUGCUUACUCUCUUUGCAACACUCAUUUGAAUAUUUCACAAAGGCUCUGCAGGUUGAUAAGUAAAUUUAAUUGAGAUCUUUUCCAUGUACAAACAACACACACACACACACCUUUGUUUCAAAUACAAAGAAACAUUUGUUCUAAGUAACAAGAAGGGUCAUUUCAGCUGUUUCUUGACGCUAUAAAAGCAGCAGCAGAAACC